rnacentral:rRNA from 1 species
UACGAAGGGGGCUAGCGUUGCUCGGAAUGACUGGGCGUAAAGGGCGCGUAGGCGGACGGCUUUGUCGGGCGUGAAAUUCCAGGGCUUAACCUUGGGGGCUGCGUUCGAGACGGGUUGUCUAGAGUUUGGAAGAGGGUCGUGGAAUUCCCAGUGUAGAGGUGAAAUUCGUAGAUAUUGGGAAGAACACCGGUGGCGAAGGCGGCGACCUGGUCCUUGACUGACGGCUGAGGCGCGAAAGCGUGGGGAGCAAACAGG